UAAUCGUAUUCUGAUAAUACACGUUGGUGCUCAAAUAUUUUCAGAUGGCCCGUGCAAAGUCAUGCCACCAGUCUGAGGACAUCACUGGGAAUGGCACAUGGGACACGUGGCUUUCAACUCCAGCGAGACCCAAGUCGACUGGACCACAGCGGAAAAUGAUCCUUCCAGAGAAGAAGUUAUUUACUUCUACAACGAAUGGAAGAGUUACAACUUCCAGAUGACAGCUCGCCGCUCAUCCUUCUGGGCAACUUGAACAUCCGACAGAACUUAUGUGACCUACUGCGUUUAUUUUCUCCUUUAGCUCUCACUAACUCUAACUUGCCCCAGCACCUGUUGUGAUUUAUUCUAGCGCUUCCACAAUUGAAUUUUGCUUGGUAUUUCAUCUAACUUGCCCCAGCACCUGUUGUGAUUUAUUCUAGCGCUUCCACAAUUGAAUUUUGCUUGUUAUUUUAUCUAACUUGCCCCAGCACCUGUUGUGAUUAAUUCUCUCUCACGGUGUCAAGUGUGUACCUUGAUCUUUUUUUUGCUCAUUGCAGCCCUUCUCUGCAAGGAGUGCUAACAAUGCAUGGUGCUGUUCAUUAAGCAACUGGGUAAAGAGCUUGUAAUGCCACAUAUGAAAAAGCUCAUAAGCUCAUUUAUAAUAAAAUAAUAUAUAUAAUCUUG